UGGCCGCGUGCCUAUACAUGCAAGUCGAGCGGACAGAUGGGAGCUUGCUCCCUGAUGUUAGCGGCGGACGGGUGAGUAACACGUGGGUAACCUGCCUGUAAGACUGGGAUAACUCCGGGAAACCGGGGCUAAUACCGGAUGCUUGUUUGAACCGCAUGGUUCAAACAUAAAAGGUGGCUUCGGCUACCACUUACAGAUGGACCCGCGGCGCAUUAGCUAGUUGGUGAGGUAACGGCUCACCAAGGCAACGAUGCGUAGCCGACCUGAGAGGGUGAUCGGCCACACUGGGACUGAGACACGGCCCAGACUCCUACGGGAGGCAGCAGUAGGGAAUCUUCCGCAAUGGACGAAAGUCUGACGGAGCAACGCCGCGUGAGUGAUGAAGGUUUUCGGAUCGUAAAGCUCUGUUGUUAGGGAAGAACAAGUACCGUUCGAAUAGGGCGGUACCUUGACGGUACCUAACCAGAAAGCCACGGCUAACUACGUGCCAGCAGCCGCGGUAAUACGUAGGUGGCAAGCGUUGUCCGGAAUUAUUGGGCGUAAAGGGCUCGCAGGCGGUUUCUUAAGUCUGAUGUGAAAGCCCCCGGCUCAACCGGGGAGGGUCAUUGGAAACUGGGGAACUUGAGUGCAGAAGAGGAGAGU
rnacentral:rRNA from 1 species